CAUCUCCCUGUCUCCCCUUAAACCAGGCACACCCUGCCACGAUGGCAUUGGCCUCCAAGCGUUGCUGAAGCUAAUGGCAUUAGGAGAUGCUAUGAGGCAGCAGCCCAGUGACAGCGAGAACUUCCCAGAUGGCAAGGCGGCCUUCUUUUGCACAUGAUGCAGAUGGGCAUCCGCAGAUGUCUGAGAGAUAAGUCGAGGGCUAUGACUUGCCGAGGGGGUGAAUGUGGGGUGCUGGGUUGGGACUCACCGGGAGGGGUUUUUGAGUCUGCUUUGGGGCUGAGGCUAUCCAAGUAGUGUCCCCUUAGGCCACAGAAAGGGAAAGUGUCACUUUUGAUCCCAGUGCUGAGGUGUGCAGGGUAGAGCAGUCCCGGUGCGUAUCGUGUCACUUGUCUAACGUACCUGGUGUUGUUUAUAUGUCUCAUGUCAUGCAUCGUCUACCUUAGCCCUUUGAGGGGCCUAUCAGAAACCCUGGCAUCAUUCUUAGCGUCUGUGAUCUCUGCAUUUCUUGGCCUGGCACCAAUGCCACAGGACUUUUGACACAGGAGCUCAGACAGGCAUCAGAAUUGCAUUUCUCUUUAGAAGCAUCCAGUCCGAUGUCUUUGCAGGUCUUGUUCUGAGCUGUACAUACUGCUGUGCAUUGCAAGGAUCCAUUAUUGCAGAUUAGGACUCAUAAGAACAUGAGGAUAGGUAGAGGAUUCUGACCGUAGGAUUCACAGGUAUCCUUUUUUGCAGUUUUUUGAAGAAAUAAUUCAGUUAGCAUCUUCUUCCUCCAGGGUUCUCUGAGCCUCUUCGGCUCACCAUCGGUCUCACCUCAUUCACUUCAUUUUGCCUUCAUUUUGCAGUCAUUCUUCUUGCCUUCAUUUUGCAGUCAUUCUUCUUGCCAAGUGAUUUCUCUUCCUGUUGUGUCCCCUUUGUUUGUCUCGUCCUGUCCUGUGUCACGGGUGGGUGCACAUAUUUGUCCCGGAGCUGCUCUGCCCUGCCGCAUUGUCCGGUGCGAUAGGACCAAUCCCGGAGGCUUGAAAUUUGUAGUGCGGGGUGUAGUUGGAUUCUAGAUGGGAUUUGUAGAUGGACACAAGAUGUUUGGAGGUGUGAAGUUAUUCUGCAGCACAUUGACUUUUGUCCUGAAUUUCUUUCAGAUGCAGAUGGAUAAAAUCCAUGGCAGAGCACCCCAUCCCAGGAAGUAAAGCCAUGUAGCAGCAGACAAGGCAAAGUGGGCAAGG